rnacentral:lncRNA from 1 species
CAGAAAGAAACUUUGUCAGGAUUUCCCUUAUCUUGCAAAAAGCAGCAACUUCUGGGAAAUGAGGCUGCCGUGAGUUCCCUCUCAGGGGAGUGUCAUGGCCAUAAAGAAAACAGAAAGACCACUUGCACCUGCAUAAACAAACAUUAUCACAAACUUUCUUAUCUCCUGCUCAUUCUCCUAAAAACCUAUUUGUUCUUCCCGUUGAAGAACUCUUCUCCCCCCUUCCCAUUCCCCUACUAAGUUAGGUAUGUAAUCCUCUAACUUUAACCAUUUCAUGAGCUAGCUACUUCUUUUGUUAACUUCCACAUGCAAAUAAUACCUUUUCUUCUGUUAAUCUGUCUUUGUCAGUUUAACUGCAGGCCUCCAGAAGAAGAACCUAAGAGGGCAGAGUAAAAGUUCUUCCUCCCCAACAGCAGAAAACAAGAGAAGCGAGGUACAGUCUGGACAAGGUGUGGUCAGAUGAUAGUAGUUAACGUCUCCUUGUCACAGAGGAAAUGGGCACUGAUGACUCAGCAGAGGUGACUCAUCGAAAGAGAAGUGGCGCCACGAAAUCUUUGUCGGGCUCUUCAAACGAAAUCCACAAACGCUUCACCUUGCAACAUCAGUUUUGUUCCGUGGUUCUGAAGAAACUGAGAAAUACACAAAGGCAUCAGAAAGAGGUCCUAAUACCAGGUGCACGGCUGGCUACCCGGACCGGUGCGUGGGGACCUGAAUGAGUUUUGCACUCCUUCCUCUCUGAAGACAUCUCUUCAACAGUCUCAGCAGCUAGACAACCUCAGACCUCUCCCCUCCAGGGCAGAGCCGGCCCCCAUGGGCUCACCACACGGAAGAGGCAGGAGCAAAAGAAGGAUGUGUGCCAGCUUCAGGCCACUGAGCCCGAGAAAGGUAGCCACAGAGAGUGUGCGAGUUCGAAAAAAUAUGGCUGCAGCCUCCUCCCAUCCCUGCACACACGUGCCCCUGCACUAUGAGGUCACCCCUUCUCCCCUCAAGAAAUAGACGUUCUUUCUCAAUUCCCUCUUGAAUCUGGGCUGCCCUGUGACUCACUCUGGCCAAUGGAAAGCAGUGGAAUGACAUUAUGCAACGUCUGAGCCCAGACCGAAAGAUACCUCUGCAUUCUCUGUCUUGGAACCCAGCUGCCAAGUGAGGAAGCCUCUGCUAGCUCUCGCCAAGGAUGAAAGCCGGCGUGCCCCAAGUGUAACCUGUGAAUGACACCAUCCAGGAGCAGCUGAAACCCAACCAAGAUGCCAUCUGAUCACAAGCACAUGAGCAAACCCAGUAACACCACAGAGAACAGAGAAUAACAAUUUCGACUGAGUCCUGCUCCAAUUGCCAGCCCACCAAAUCUCAAGCAAAUAAACUUAUGCACGAACAGAGAGCACGUUCAGUAAUUACUAAUUCAGCCUCACCAAUCAGAUAAGGCUCUCUGGUAUAAGAGUAGUGUGGCUCUACUAUGGUUUUCUAUGGAAACAUGCUGGUGGGGUAAUUUUCCCACCACAAGUGAUGAUCCUGCUCCCAUCACGCAUGCUGAAGUCUUCCAGAAACACCAGGGGACUCUUUAAACACUGACCUUUACGAGGGGGUAUUGAAAAGUAGUGUAUUUC